UGAACUCGUCCUAUCAUUGUGAAGCAGAAUUCACCAAGCGUUGGAUUGUUCACCCACUAAUAGGGAACGUUAGCGGGGGUUAGACCGUCAUGAGACAGGUU
rnacentral:ncRNA from 1 species